rnacentral:rRNA from 1 species
UAAGCGGAGGAAAAGAAACUAACAAGGAUUCCCCUAGUAACGGCGAGCGAACAGGGAAGAGCUCAAAUUUGAAAUCUGGCGUCCUCCGGGCGUCCGAGUUGUAAUCUAUAGAGACGUUUUCCGUGCCGGACCGUGUCCAAGUUCCUUGGAACAGGAUAUCAAAGAGGGUGACAAUCCCGUACUUGACACGACGACCGGUGCUCUGUGAUACGUUUUCUACGAGUCGAGUUGUUUGGGAAUGCAGCUCAAAAUGGGUGGUGAGUUCCAUCUAAAGCUAAAUAUUGGCGAGAGACCGAUAGCGAACAAGUACCGUGAGGGAAAGAUGAAAAGCACUUUGGAAAGAGAGUUAAACAGUACGUGAAAUUGUUAAAAGGGAAACGAUUGAAGUCAGUCGUGUCUGGGAGGCUCAGCCGGUUCUGCCGGUGUAUUCCUCUCAGACGGGUCAACAUCAGUUUUGUCCGACGGAUAAUGGCGGCGGGAAAGUAGCACCUCCGGGUGUGUUAUAGCCCGCUGUCGCAUACGCCGGAUGAGACUGAGGCAUGCAGCUCGCCUUUAUGGCAGGGGUUCGCCCACUUUCGAGCUUAGGAUGUUGACGUAAUGGCUUUAAACGACCCGUCUUGAAACACGGACCAAGGAGUCUAACAUAUCUCAGUUUUUGGG